rnacentral:rRNA from 1 species
GAUGAACGCUGGCGGCGUGCCUAAUACAUGCAAGUCGAGCGAAUGGAUUAAGAGCUUGCUCUUAUGAAGUUAGCGGCGGACGGGUGAGUAACACGUGGGUAACCUGCCCAUAAGACUGGGAUAACUCCGGGAAACCGGGGCUAAUACCGGAUAAUAUUUUGAACUGCAUGGUUCAAAAUUGAAAGGCGGCUUCGGCUGUCACUUAUGGAUGGACCCGCGUCGCAUUAGCUAGUUGGUGAGGUAACGGCUCACCAAGGCAACGAUGCGUAGCCGACCUGAGAGGGGGAUCGGCCACACUGGGACUGGGACACGGCCCAGACUCCUACGGGAGGCAGCAGUAGGGAAUCUUCCGCAAUGGACGAAAAUCUGACGGAGCAACGCCGCGUGAGUGAUGAAGGCUUUCGGGUCGUAAAACUCUGUUGUUAGGGAAGAACAAGUGCUAGUUGAAUAAGCUGACACCUUGACGGUACCUAACCAGAAAGCCACGGCUAACUACGUGCCAGCAGCCGCCGUAA